UGAACGCUGGCGGCGUGCCUAAUACAUGCAAGUCGAGCGAACAGACGAGGAGCUUGCUCCUCUGACGUUAGCGGCGGACGGGUGAGUAACACGUGGAUAACCUACCUAUAAGACUGGGAUAACUUCGGGAAACCGGAGCUAAUACCGGAUAAUAUAUUGAACCGCAUGGUUCAAUAGUGAAAGACGGUUUUGCUGUCACUUAUAGAUGGAUCCGCGCCGCAUUAGCUAGUUGGUAAGGUAACGGCUUACCAAGGCAACGAUGCGUAGCCGACCUGAGAGGGUGAUCGGCCACACUGGAACUGAGACACGGUCCAGACUCCUACGGGAGGCAGCAGUAGGGAAUCUUCCGCAAUGGGCGAAAGCCUGACGGAGCAACGCCGCGUGAGUGAUGAAGGUCUUCGGAUCGUAAAACUCUGUUAUUAGGGAAGAACAACUGUGUAAGUAACUAUGCACGUCUUGACGGUACCUAAUCAGAAAGCCACGGCUAACUACGUG
rnacentral:rRNA from 1 species